UACGGGAGGCAGCAGUGGGGAAUAUUGCACAAUGGGCGCAAGCCUGAUGCAGCCAUGCCGCGUGUAUGAAGAAGGCCUUCGGGUUGUAAAGUACUUUCAGUCGUGAGGAAGGUGUUAAGGUUAAUAACUUUAGCAAUUGACGUUAGCGACAGAAGAAGCACCGGCUAACUCCGUGCCAGCAGCCGCGGUAAUACGGAGGGUGCGAGCGUUAAUCGGAAUUACUGGGCGUAAAGGGCACGCAGGCGGUUAAUUAAGUUGGAUGUGAAAUCCCCGGGCUUAACCUGGGAAUGGCAUUCAAGACUGGUUAGCUAGAGUCUUGUAGAGGGGGUAGAAUUCCAUGUGUAGCGGUGAAAUGCGUAGAGAUGUGGAGGAAUACCGGUGGCGAAGGCGGCCCCUGGACAAAGGCUGACGCUCAUGUGCGAAAGCGUGGGGAGCAAACGAGGGAUUAGAUACC
rnacentral:rRNA from 1 species